rnacentral:sRNA from 1 species
GUAUGCACAAUAACGCUUUGGUUCCAGCUGUCACACACAGACCUGGAACUUCAUCAGAGAAGGGAGCAGUUAGUAGAGCGCACUCGGAGAGAGGCUCAGCUUGCUGCCCUGCAGUAUGAGGAGGAGAAAAUAAGGACCAAGCAGAUCCAGAGAGAUGCUGUCCUGGACUUUGUCAAACAAAAAGCAUCACAAAGUCCACAAAAACAGCACCCGCUCCUAGAUGGCGUAGAUGGUGAGUGCCCCUUCCCAUCCAGAAGGUCUCAGCACACUGAUGAUAGUGCCUUGUGCACGUCGCUGUCAGGGUUGAAUCAAGUGGGCUGUGCUGCUACCCUGCCUCAUUCUUCUGCCUUCACGCCUCUUAAGAGUGAUGACAGACCUAAUGCUCUAUUAAGUUCACCUGCAACAGAAACAGUUCAUCAUUCCCCUGCAUAUUCUUUUCCUGCUGCUAUCCAGAGAAAUCAGCCUCAGCGCCCUGAAAGCUUCCUUUUCCGAGCAGGUGUCAGGGCAGAAACCAACAAAGGUCAUGCUUCACCCCUU